AGACGUUCUCGGGGCGGGGUGCAAUUCCCCACCGGCGGUGUUUGACGGGGCGUAACAGUCCCGCCAUCAGUCCGCGAGCGCCUGGCGGCAUCAGCCGACAGGGUCAGCAGAUCCGGUGAGACCCCGGAACCGACGGUUACAGUCCGGAUGAUAGAGAACGAAC
rnacentral:ncRNA from 2 species